GACGAACGCUGGCGGCAUGCCUAACACAUGCAAGUCGAACGAGAAAGUCGGGUCUUUUUGCCGACGGGUGCGGAAGCGGUGGGAAGAUUCCCUUGGGUUCGGUAUAACAGUGGGAAAGGGCUACCAAUAGCGAACGAUGGCGUAAACCCAAAGAUAUAUUGCCCAAGGAUGGUCACGCGUAAGAUUAGCUAGUUCGUUAGGUAAAGGCGCACCAAGGCGGCGUUACUUAGCUGGUCUGGUAGGAUGACCCGCCACCCUGGGGAUGGGACCCGGCCGAGACUCCUACGGAAGGCAGCAGUGGGGAAUAUUGGACGAUGGGCGAAAGACUGAGCCAGCCGUGCCGCGUAAGUGAUGAGGGCGUUAGGGUUGUAAAGCUCUUUUACCCGGGAUGAUAAUGACGGUACCGGGAGAAUAAGCGCCGGCUAACUACGUG
rnacentral:rRNA from 1 species